CGGGGAGGUAGCAAUACCUUUGCCGGCGACCGGCGCACGGGUGAGUAACACGUAUCCAACCUGCCGAUAACUCGGGGAUAGCCUUUCGAAAGAAAGAUUAAUAUCCGAUAGUAUAUUAAAACCGCAUGGUUUUACUAUUAAAGAAUUUCGGUUAUCGAUGGGGAUGCGUUCCAUUAGUUUGUUGGCGGGGUAACGGCCCACCAAGACUACGAUGGAUAGGGGUUCUGAGAGGAAGGUCCCCCACAUUGGAACUGAGACACGGUCCAA
rnacentral:rRNA from 1 species